rnacentral:lncRNA from 1 species
CAUAAGAACUUCAGAGCUCAGCAAUAAACAGUUAUCACAUAGUAAUAGAUUGCAAAUUACACACUUUAUAGCAAUCAAUUACUGAGCCUUGCUGAACCUUUUUAAUUUUAACACCAUAUGAAAAAAAGUUCCUCAUUUUUAUAAAUGUGUGAUGUUUGUUUGUAUAUCCACAGAGGCCAGGUCACAAGUGAAGCCUAAAAUAAAGCAUGCUACUGGUAAGGCAGAACUGAUCCAAAAACUAGAGGUAAAUAUUAUAUUACUGUACUUGUUUCCUUACACUUUACCUCACUGCAUCCUAUUGAAAUUCCAAUUGAAAGAACUGCUGCAUGUAAGAGUUUCUGCAUGUGAGAGCUGCCACAUAAGAGAGCUACUGCAUGUGAGAGCUGCUACAUGAGAAAACUGUUACGUGCGAAAGCUGGCUUGCCGCAAGAGCACAUUUUAGCCAAUUCAGAUAAGUACAGCUGUUGUGCUGCAUCAACAACCAAUGGCUUUCAAAAACUGAGGAAAAGCUGAUUUCCAGAAUUAGAUUAAAAGGAAACCAAUUAAAGAUUUUUAAAAAAUAAACAUACGAUAGCCUACUUCCAGACUGUUAUUUUGUUUCAUUUGCAACACAUACAAAAAACAUCACAGACUAGCCCAAUGCAAAAUGUCCAAGUGGACUCAUCAGAAUCCUUCUGUUAUUAUAGCUGUGAUUUUUGUUAUAAAUGUUUUGUUGAAGAUCUAAUAUAUGAUUAAUUUAUAAAAAAUUAAAGCACAGUGGUGAACUACUGAACAUUAUUAUUAGUUAUAGGUCUUCAUUGUCUUUCAUAAUCUGUUACAUUUUUAUUGACCACAAUGCCAACUGGAACAAAAAGAUAAAUCUAUGCCAUUUUACACACUGCACUGCAGACCUGGAGUUAAAUAUGAUGAAAACAUGUAUUCAUUGUGAUAUGGUUAUCACAUUUGUACAGACUCUUGAAAAGAAAGAGGAGGAGAACCAUUCUGAGGAGGAGCAAGAUGAGGAAAAGAAGAAGAAGAAAGCAGCAGAGGAAGAAGCAGAGUCUGAAGAAGGGGAACAAUAUGAUGAAGAAGAAUUUGAGGAAGAGACGGAUUACAUCAUGUCUUACUUUGACAACGGUGAGGAUUUCGGAGGUGAUAGUGACGACAAUAUGGAUGAAGCCACUUACUAAAGACCUCUUGGGGAACAUUUUAUUUAUUUUAGAAUGAGUGUUUGUGAGGUAUUUUUAUUAUUAACACACCAAUAUGAGAUGUCAAUGCUGCUGUACUGUUCAGAAAACACAUUUAAGGACCUGAACACUGAAUGCCUUUAGCUCUGGUGUUGCCAGAACCACAUUAAAAAAAAUCUGUGCUGCUGCAACAAUGCUGCUAUUUAAUUGUUACUAUGUGAUUUUACUGCAGUUCGAUUUUAUGACAUAUACAGUUUAAGCUGUUUACAGAGAUCUGACAUAUAUUGACGUAUUUUGCUGAACUAGUAGCAUUUAGUGAGUUUAUGAGAACCCAGGGAUAUAAUUUCAUCAUGUGCCUUUCAGAACAGUUUAUUGUUUACUACAGUAACUUGAAAACAUCCCUUUUGUUCACACAUAUUUUGUGUACAACUGAUUAUGUAUUGAUAUUGUGUUCAUUGGAAUAUGCUUGUGUCAAGUACUGUAUUAACAUGUCUGAGUGAAGAAGAUAAAGUGCUGUAUAAAAGAUCACUACACUGUGCUAUAUAAAAUCAUCCAGCAGGGGUCAUGCUGAAGCUUUAUAAAGGAGCAAAUCUGCACCCAUGGGUGUACUCGCUUGACUGUAAAGUUUAGAGGGGUGUUGUGUGAUAUGGUGUUGUGUGUUCACAGAGAACAUUUGACUGGUUUGCAUUCAAUUCUCCAAAGAAGUUCAGUUACUUUGUUCAUUCCAUGCAACCAAACCUGUGCCAUAAUAAACUGCAUUGAUUUAAAUUUGCA